AUUAUUUAAAAUAGUGGAUAAUGUUUGUAUAAAACAGACAAAUAAAAUAGUAUAGAAUAAAACUAAAUAGUAUAGAACAAAACGUAGACAAUCCAAAUAACCGAAUUAAACCGCUUUGAUCAAAAAACACUAUACCCUAAGAUACAACAUUGACAACCCAAAUAACCAAGGUAAACCGUAGCGGUGACGUUGACGAUGGUAAGAUUCUGACAAUUUUUUUUACCCAUUCGUUAAUCAAUAGUUUAAAUAGACAAACAAAUCGAAAUCGAAUGAAUUGGUUUGUUUGUUUGUAGGAUAAGUUAAUAGAAUUACAUAAACAUUUUCUGGGCAAAUCAAAGAAAUUGGAAUCUUUAAUAGACUAAACAUUGAUGUCAAGGAUAUGAGUGAUUGUCCGUUGGAGAUUCUAUUGCCUUGGUGAUGCAAACGGAUUUAGGAGAGAGAGAGAAAGAGAGAGAGAGGAAUUGUGACAGUUCGAUUGUGAACAGUGAGGGGAAGAAGAAAAGUGGAGAAAAAAUAUCGAGAAAGAGAGGGGGAGAGAGAAAAUGAGAGGAGAGGCAAAGGGGCAAAAUUGAAAAUAGUAUAUCAAAUAUAGAAUAUAUCAUCCAUCUUUUUUGUUGAUGUGAUUUUCUUAAUUAUAAUAUUUUUGUGCGUUAGUUCUGCAAAUUCUCCUUAGUUUUAGGCAAGUUUGCAACACUUAAACUCUAAUACCAUCUCCAUUGGAGUUUUUUAUAAGAGUUUCUCACAAUAAAAAAAAAAAAUAAUGAAAAUGACGGAAAUAAAGUGUAGAAAGUUAAUUCUGAGAUACUCUUUACAACCCAUCAUGACAUUUCUCUUCUCACUAUUGGUUCAAAUUUUUAACAAU
rnacentral:sRNA from 1 species